UACAGAGGUGGCAAGCGUUGUUCGGAAUUACUGGGCGUAAAGGGCGCGUAGGCGGCCAUCUAAGUCAGACGUGAAAUCCCCCGGCUUAACCUGGGAACUGCGUCUGAUACUGGACGGCUUGAGUAUGGGAGAGGGAUGUAGAAUUCCAGGUGUAGCGGUGAAAUGCGUAGAUAUCUGGAGGAAUACCGGUGGCGAAGGUGGCAUCCUGGACCAUUACUGACGCUGAGGCGCGAAAGCUAGGGGAGCAAACGGG
rnacentral:rRNA from 1 species